rnacentral:rRNA from 1 species
UACCAGCACCCCGAGUGGUUGGGACGAUUAUUGGGCCUAAAGCAUCCGUAGCCGGUCCUGCAAGUCUUCCGUUAAAUCCAGCUGCUCAACAGAUGGGCUGCGGGAGAUACUACAGGGCUAGGAGGCGGGAGAGGCAAGCGGUACUUUAUGAGUAGGGGUAAAAUCCGCUGAUCCAUAGAAGACCACCAGUGGCGAAGGCGGCUUGCCAGAACGCGCUCGACGGUGAGGGAUGAAAGCUGGGGGAGCAAACCGG